UUAAGGUCUCUUUAUUUGGUUGGACAAACUUAAAAAAAAUAAUAAUAAUAAUACCGAUAAAUUCUCCGAUUCGAACUAGAUGAUACAAAAUAAUAUAACCUAACUUCCAAUAAUAUAUAAUUAAAUUUAAUUCAAUAUACUAGCAUUAAUACAGUGGAACUUCCCUCGAAACACCAAAAUCAACAAAAAACUUCGAGCUAGAGACUUCGAGUUAUAGAAUUUUCAUUAAAACAUAAAAUUUUUCUUUUUUCGUUCGCCUCCAUACGAUUUAGAGGGACUCUAUUAAUAUUCCGCCUCGAUAGUAAAAUUUUAAAUUUUGUAGUAUUCUUUGGUCGAAAAGUUCGAUUUAUGGAAGGAAAUUUGUAUGAAAUUUGAUUUCUAAACGCUAUUGCUAAUUCAAAAGUUCGUGUUAUGGAAGUUCCACUGUAUUAAUACAUCUAUACCAUAAAUAUAUACGAAAAAAAUUAUACCAUUUCAAAUAUUUCGAAGUCAACUGCUUACUGGGUUAUGAGUCUUAAAAGUAAAAUUUUAUAAUUAUAACCAAUAAACUACCUUUCUAAUUGUAUACAUAUAUAUAUGCAAAUAAAAAAAGAUUUAAAUAUGUAUUGAAGUUUAAAAACCAGUUACUUUGGCCUACUGGGUUAUCAAUUAAAAUGCCCAAAAAUGCUGCAACAAAAAAGGAAAAGGGCACGUGUAGCAACAGAAAUAAAAGGCGGCAAUAAGAUACAAAUAUACAAAUCUAUACAGAUACAUAUAUACAAUUUACAAGCAUCGCUAUGUAACAUUAAAGCUGCAAACGGGUACGUAAAAGCUACUAGCUUAAGCUAAACUUGCCGCACGCACUGGAAAUGUGACUGGCUGGAAGUUUGUUGAAAGUGAAUUAGCGGUGGAAAAGUGCGCAGCGCCAGCAUACAGCAGCAGCUAGUACACAGAGCGCUGUCAACGAGAUAACGAAUCGAUUGCAAAGCGAGCAGCGCAGUCAACGUCAUCCACCUGCAUAAACAUAGAUGCGCUUGUAAUGCGCUGCCAACACACAGCGCAGGCCCACAUCACAGCCCGUACGUGUUGUAAUAAUUAUGCCGGCAAAGCCACGGCCACUGUCGACGUCGCCGCAGCGUACAGCAUAUUCCAUUCGCCGGGUAAUCGGCACUUCGGCAUUUGACGACAGCAGCACACCACUUGAUGUACGCCAACAAGUUUGACUUUGUUUUCAUUACUUUUUCUUUACAUAUUCGAUUUGCUUUUGUGCCAACACUUCCAAACUUCGGCAACAGCUGAUAGCUGGUGGUGGUGUUGCUGCUGCUUUUGCUGUGCUCAUAGCUGCUGCCUGCUGACGCUGCUGCUGUUUUCGCUGCCGUUGCAGUGUAUCGGUCGUCGUUUAACAAGGAAAAGUGCCGCGACCUGAGAUUUAUUUAGUGUACAACUGUCGUGGAAAACAGACAUCGUCGAAGGUGCUAGCGGAACGUGCCGUGUCGCAGAGUUGAAAAAAAAAAUUGAAUUGUUCUUACAUGCAUACACCUGUAUGUGCAUGCGGAUUUUUGUGUGUUUUGUAAAUGAAAUUGUGUAUAAAAGUGGAAAUUAGUUAAAUCUACGCGCAAAAAUAAAUUAAACGGCGUUUAGUGAAGUGCUUUGAAGUGUAUGCGGAGAACAAAGAAAGCAUCAUUUAUGGAAUAUUGUAGCGAUGUGCAUACGUGAUUAAAACGUACGGAGUAAUAAGUUUCCAGUCGGUAUUCUUCUUUUUGUUUGGUUGACUUCAGUGUGCUGUGAAAUUGGUGUAGCAAGUGAGUGCGAGAGUGUGUUCUAAACAAAAUAAAAGGAGUUGGUACAAAAAAUCAAAAAAAUAUUCAUGUCAAAUUAUAAAUGUGGAAUUGUAUGAAGUAGAUGAACCAUAAAAUUGAGAUGUGCUUUGCUUUACACGCGCAGUAUAGCAACAAUUCUUAAAUAUUGACUAUUUGAAAAUUCCAACCACGUAACGGUAACGAGUGAAUGUGCAACAAGGCGUGUAAACCGAUGAGUGCAAGUGCGGCAGAAGUGUUAAAAAUUUGUGAGAAAAAUAUGCUGAUAAGGUAACGGAAAGAACCAAAAAAUAAACAACAGGCAGUUCUGUGGAAAAAAUAUAAGAAAAUUUCAAAAGAGAAAAGACAAAAUACUAAACAUAGAUAAAGCGAAUAUUCGAAGAAAAAUUAACAAAAA